UGGGGUGCAGCAGGCGCGAAAACUUUACAAUGCCGGCAACGGCGAUAAGGGGACCUCGAGUGCCAGGUUACAAAUCUGGCUGUCGUGAUGCCUAAAAAGCAUUGCAUAGCAAGGGCCGGGCAAGACCGGUGCCAGCCGCCGCGGUAACACCGGCGGCUCGAGUGGUAACCGUUAUUAUUGGGUCUAAAGGGUCUGUAGCCGGCCGGAUAAGUUUCUUGGGAAAUCUGGCAGCUUAACUGUCAGGCUUUCAGGAGAUACUGCCUGGCUCGAGGCCGGGAGAGGUGAGAGGUACUUCAGGGGUAGGGGUGAAAUCUUGUAAUCCUUGAAGGACCACCAGUGGCGAAGGGGUCUCACCAGAACGGACCUGACGGCAAGGGACGAAAGCUAGGGGCGCGAACCGGAUUAGAUACCCGGGUGGUCUUAGCUUAAAGGGAUAGGGCUGGCAUGUAUGGCUAGACUGGCAGGGAUGGCUGGAAUGAUAGGGAUC
rnacentral:rRNA from 1 species